rnacentral:rRNA from 1 species
UACGGAGGGUGCAAGCGUUAUCCGGAUUCACUGGGUUUAAAGGGUGUGUAGGCGGGCUGUUAAGUCAGGGGUGAAAUCUCAAGGCUCAACCUUGAAACUGCCAUUGAUACUAUCAGUCUUGAAUCUUGUUGAGGUAGGCGGAAUAUAUCAUGUAGCGGUGAAAUGCUUAGAUAUGAUAUAGAACACCGAUUGCGAAGGCAGCUUACUAAACAAGCAUUGACGCUGAGGCACGAAAGCGUGGGGAUCAAACAGG